AUACGUAGGGUGCGAGCGUUGUCCGGAAUUACUGGGCGUAAAGAGCUCGUAGGUGGUUUGUCGCGUCGUCUGUGAAAUUCCGGGGCUUAACUCCGGGCGUGCAGGCGAUACGGGCAUAACUUGAGUACUGUAGGGGAGACUGGAAUUCCUGGUGUAGCGGUGAAAUGCGCAGAUAUCAGGAGGAACACCGGUGGCGAAGGCGGUUCUCUGGGCAGUAACUGACGCUGAGGAGCGAAAGCAUGGGUAGCGAACAGGAUUAGAUACCCUGGUAGUCCAUGCCGUAAACGGUGGGCGCUAGGUGUAGGGGUCUUCCACGACUUCUGUGCCGUAGCUAACGCAUUAAGCGCCCCGCCUGGGGAGUACGGCCGCAAGGCUAAAACUCAAAGGAAUUGACGGGG
rnacentral:rRNA from 1 species